rnacentral:rRNA from 1 species
GGGCCCGCACAAGCAGCGGAGCAUGUGGUUUAAUUCGAAGCAACGCGAAGAACCUUACCUGGACUUGACAUCCCCUGCAUAAGCCUAGAGAUAGGCGAAGCCCUUCGGGGCAGGGAGACAGGUGGUGCAUGGUUGUCGUCAGCUCGUGUCGUGAGAUGUUAGGUUAAGUCCUGCAACGAGCGCAACCCUUAUCAUUAGUUGCUACCAUUAAGUUGAGCACUCUAGUGAGACUGCCCGGGUUAACCGGGAGGAAGGUGGGGAUGACGUCAAAUCAUCAUGCCCCUUAUGUCCAGGGCAACACACGUGCUACAAUGGUGAGUACAGAGAGAUGCAAUACCGUGAGGUGGAGCCAAACUCUAAAAACUCAUCCCAGUUCGGAUUGUAGGCUGAAACUCGCCUACAUGAAGCUGGAGUUGCUAGUAAUCGCGAAUCAGAAUGUCGCGGUGAAUACGUUCCCGGGCCUUGUACACACCGCCCGUCACACCAUGAGAG